GAUGAACGCUGGCGGCGUGCCCAAUACAUGCAAGUCGAGCGAACGGACGAGAAGCUUGCUUUUCUGAUGUUAGCGGCGGACGGGUGAGUAACACGUGGAUAACCUACCUAUAAGACUGGGAUAACUUCGGGAAACCGGAGCUAAUAUCGGAUAAUAUUUUGAACCGCAUGGUUCAAAAGUGAAAGACGGUCUUGCUGUCACUUAUAGAUGGAUCCGCGCUGCAUUAGCUAGUUGGUAAGGUAACGGCUUACCAAGGCAACGAUGCAUAGCCGACCUGAGAGGGUGAUCGGCCACACUGGAACUGAGACACGGUCCAGACUCCUACGGGAGGCAGCAGUAGGGAAUCUUCCGCAAUGGGCGAAAGCCUGACGGAGCAACGCCGCGUGAGUGAUGAAGGUCUUCGGAUCGUAAAACUCUGUUAUUGGGGAAGAACAUAUGUGUAAGUAACUGUGCACAUCUUGACGGUACCUAAUCAGAAAGCCACGGCUAACUACGUG
rnacentral:rRNA from 1 species